rnacentral:sRNA from 1 species
AAGAAAUGCCAGGUGUUGUGGAUGGAGGGUUGGUCCGAUAGCAGUAUGAAGAAAAUACCUGAAAUGUUAUUCAGUGAAACAGGUGGUGGAGAAAAAUACAAUGAUAAAAAACGAAAAGAAGAAAAGAAAAAAAAUUCAGUUGAUCCUGAUUUUCUAAAAUCAUUUUUAUUAAUCCAUGAAUCUUGUAAAGCAUAUGGUGCUACACCAAGCCGAUAUAUGACCUUUUUACAUGUGUAUUCUGCCAUUAGUAGCAGCAAGAAAAAGGAAUUAUUAAAAAGACAAAGUCAUUUGCAGGCUGGUGUAUCUAAACUAAAUGAAGCUAAAGCUCUUGUGGAUGAACUGAACAGAAAGGCUGGAGAACAAAGUGUGUUACUUAAAACGAAGCAAGAUGAAGCAGAUGCUGCCCUUCAAAUGAUCACAGUGUCAAUGCAGGUAAUGUUUAGAGUGACCACAAAAAUGAAAACA